UACGUAGGGUGCGAGCGUUAAUCGGAAUUACUGGGCGUAAAGGGUGCGCAGGCGGUCUCGUAAGCUGGGUGUGAAAGCCCCGGGCUUAACCUGGGAAUGGCAUUCAGGACUGCGAGGCUUUGAGUGUGGCAGAGGGAGGUGGAAUUCCACGUGUAGCAGUGAAAUGCGUAGAGAUGUGGAGGAACACCGAUGGCGAAGGCAGCCUCCUGGACCUGUUCUGACGCUGAGGAGCGAAAGCGUGGGGAGCGAUCCGG
rnacentral:rRNA from 1 species